AGCAGCAUGGCGCAGAUGGAAGCGCGCGGGGCCCAUAUUACCGUAGUAAUCUACCCCGAGGUCACUCGAUCGAAACGAGUUGCUGCUA